AGUCGUAACAAGGUUUCCGUAGGUGAACCUGCGGAAGGAUCAUUAGCAGCAAGUCGAGGGGGAGUGGGUGGCGCGAGCUGCCUGCUGCCACGUGUUGCCGUGCCCGCUGGGGCGGCAUACAUGGGCGCUCUGGGGAGCGGAGGCGAGCCAGACUGCAUGUGAGCUUUUGUUGUUGUUGUUGUUGUUGUGCUGUGUUGCUUGCACCAUGGGGUGUUGUUGCUGCGUGUGUGUGUGUGUGGUGUGUGUGUGGUGGUGGGUGUGGCGAGGCUGCACUGACUGCUGCGACAGCAUGACAUGAUGUGACGUGGUGGUGACGUGUGUGUGUGUGAGCGGGCGGCGGCAGAAGGAAAGAUGAAGAGAAAGAAAAAGACCCUUAACAAUGGAUCUCUUGGUUCUU
rnacentral:misc_RNA from 1 species